rnacentral:rRNA from 1 species
UACGUAGGGAGCAAGCGUUGUUCGGAUUUACUGGGCGUAGAGGGCGCGUAGGCGGCGCGGUAAGUCACUUGUGAAAUCUCUGAGCUUAACUCAGAACGGCCAAGUGAUACUGCAGUGCUAGAGUGCAGAAGGGGCAAUCGGAAUUCUUGGUGUAGCGGUGAAAUGCGUAGAUAUCAAGAGGAACACCUGAGGUGAAGACGGGUUGCUAGGCUGACACUGACGCUGAGGCGCGAAAGCCAGGGGAGCAAACGGG